AACAGGAAGCAAGCGAAAUAGGUGUUGCAGAAUCCAUUUUUCCAAUAGCAGCUUCCUUACAAAUAGACAUGUUCUCUUCCAUACAUGUAAUUUGACAAUACGAAGGGAUAAUCUAGGAGAUCUUUCACGGCAGCAUUGUCCUUAAAGGAUAUUUUGGAUAUAUUUUUAUUACAAUCUUAUGACAUAAUCUAAAAUAUUAUUUUUAUUAGAAAAACAAUGAAGUUUUUUUUUUUUUUUUACAAAAUGGGUUACGUGAUAUUAAAUAUAAUUAGAAUUUACUUAACAAUAUAUUUCUUUGAAAAAUACACUUUUUUUUUAACAAUAUUAGUAAAAGUAGUGUGGAGGAAAAUAUAUUUUUUUCAAA
rnacentral:lncRNA from 1 species